rnacentral:lncRNA from 1 species
CACUCAGUUGAUGAACUUGGUUUGACCUUUCUCCAGAGCAGCUGGGGUGGGUCCUGGGAGGGGAGCCAGCUCGAUCUGCUUCUCCCCAGGGGGUCCACCAGGCCCUGGGUGUGGUGGGAGGCGGGUUAGCGCAGGAAGGAGAGCUGGGCCCCCGCCGGUAGGGCGACCGAUAGGAGACCCCUGCCCAGAACUGGGGGCUGUACGUGGCCUCUGAGUGAGUUUGCCUUGAAACCACUUCUGUGGCCCCGGAACCUCACCGGAGAGUCCACGUGGCUCCCAGGUUGGCAGUGCUCCUGGCAGCGGGCAGCCACGCCCCGGAUGUUUCUGUGGGCGGGCUGCAGCCUGCAUCUCGGAGAGGGCCCUCGGAUGAAGCUCCAGGGAACGGUGAGCUGCCAGGAAGAAAGUCAGGAGGCCACAGGAAACGAAGCUCCCGACAUGGGGGGGCCAGGAACGAGGCCCCCCCGUGCUUUCUGCAGGCGGCCCAGCCCCAGACCCAGCUGUGCCCAGAGCUGCCCUCACAGCACAGGCGUGUCUGGGCUCCCCUCCGGGGCCUGAGCGCACCCCUGGCCAAGCUCAGAGCUGCAUGCCUGUGACCUGACGGCGUCGGCUGGCUGUGUCCCGUGUGGUGACGCACCUGGGGGCUGGCAGAGAGCUGUGAAGUUUGAGAUCAACACGCACGCCGUGCCGACUGGAGCUGGGACUCUGGGGAUCUGGAGCCUGUGGGGAGCUUGACUGGGUGGCUGAGUUUCCUAGAAGUGUCGACCCCGCGUCCACGCCCCACUGGAGGCUGUCACGGCCCCAUCCGAGCCCCCGCCCGCCCGUGGCUCUGCACGGCGCUCCGAACCGCUCAUCUUUCCAGAACACUCUUGCUGAGCCCUGUGCCUUCUCCCCGAGGCAUUGCAAGGUCCACUCCUUGGUGGCACCUCGGAGUCUGGCCCUGGUACCCGUCCCCUGCUGUCCCUCCGGCGUGGCCUGGGCUCUCCCGACCUGCCCGGCACGCAGGCAGGCCGCCCCCAAUGCUCGAGCGGGCACA